rnacentral:rRNA from 1 species
GACGAACGCUGGCGGCGUGCCUAACACAUGCAAGUCGAGCGAGUGAAUCUCCUUCGGGAGUGAAGCUAGCGGCGGACGGGUGAGUAACACGUGGGCAACCUGCCUCAUAGAGGGGAAUAGCCUUUCGAAAGGAAGAUUAAUACCGCAUAAGAUUGUAGCUUCGCAUGAAGUAGCAAUUAAAGGAGCAAUCCGCUAUGAGAUGGGCCCGCGGCGCAUUAGCUAGUUGGUGAGGUAACGGCUCACCAAGGCAACGAUGCGUAGCCGACCUGAGAGGGUGAUCGGCCACAUUGGGACUGAGACACGGCCCAGACUCCUACGGGAGGCAGCAGUGGGGAAUAUUGCACAAUGGGGGAAACCCUGAUGCAGCAACGCCGCGUGAGUGAUGACGGCCUUCGGGUUGUAAAGCUCUGUCUUCAGGGACGAUAAUGACGGUACCUGAGGAGGAAGCCACGGCUAACUACGUGCCAGCCGCCGCCGUAAAAC